GAUGAACGCUGGCGGCGUGCCUAAUACAUGCAAGUCGAGCGAACAGACGAGGAGCUUGCUCCUCUGACGUUAGCGGCGGACGGGUGAGUAACACGUGGAUAACCUACCUAUAAGACUGGGAUAACUUCGGGAAACCGGAGCUAAUACCGGAUAAUAUAUUGAACCGCAUGGUUCAAUAGUGAAAGACGGUUUUGCUGUCACUUAUAGAUGGAUCCGCGCCGCAUUAGCUAGUUGGUAAGGUAACGGCUUACCAAGGCAACGAUGCGUAGCCGACCUGAGAGGGUGAUCGGCCACACUGGAACUGAGACACGGUCCAGACUCCUACGGGAGGCAGCAGUAGGGAAUAUUCAGCAAUGGGCGAAAGCCUGACGGAGCAACGCCGCGUGAGUGAUGAAGGUCUUCGGAUCGUAAAACUCUGUUAUUAGGGAAGAACAAAUGUGUAAGUAACUAUGCACGACUUGACGGUACCUAAUCAGAAAGCCACGGCUAACUACGUG
rnacentral:rRNA from 1 species